AGAUUGAACGCUGGCGGCAUGCCUUACACAUGCAAGUCGAACGGCAGCACGGGAGCAAUCCUGGUGGCGAGUGGCGAACGGGUGAGUAGUAUAUCGGAACGUGCCCAGUCGUGGGGGAUAACGUAGAGAAAUUUACGCUAAUACCGCAUACGAUCCAAGGAUGAAAGCGGGGGAACCGUAAGGCCUCGCGCGACUGGAGCGGCUGAUAUCAGAUUAGCUUGUUGGUGAGGUAAAAGCUCA
rnacentral:rRNA from 1 species